rnacentral:rRNA from 1 species
GGAAUCUGAGACAGGUGCUGCAUGGCUGUCGUCAGCUCGUGUUGUGAAAUGUUGGGUUAAGUCCCGCAACGAGCGCAACCCUUAUCCUUGUUUGCCAGCGAGUAAUGUCGGGAACUCCAGGGAGACUGCCGGUGAUAAACCGGAGGAAGGUGGGGACGACGUCAAGUCAUCAUGGCCCUUACGAGUAGGGCUACACACGUGCUACAAUGGCGCAUACAGAGGGCGGCCAACUUGCGAAAGGGAGCGAAUCCCAAAAAGUGCGUCGUAGUCCGGAUUGGAGUCUGCAACUCGACUCCAUGAAGUCGGAAUCGCUAGUAAUCGUGGAUCAGAAUGCCACGGUGAAUACGUUCCCGGGUCUUGUACACAC